ensembl:lncRNA LINC01471 long intergenic non-protein coding RNA 1471
GGGGGACAGAGUGGGUGGGGAGGGGAGCCGCCAUACAGUGGCCAGGACCAGCUUUGCCCAAGUGGUGGCAACCGCAUGACCACAGGAACGAUGGCGUGAGCCCCGUGGCAACCUGGAGGAAGGAAAGCAAUCAGCUUGAUCAAUGCCUACUGUAAAGACGGCACCGCCCUCCGGAGGUCCUUUCUCAGCCCUGGUGUUCGGACAGCCACAUCCCCUCGCAGCAGGGGGAGGCCUGAAGCAUAGAGGGGCCCAUGCAGGUCUAUUCUGUUUCAGCGAAUUGCCUGGGAAAUAAUCCAGGAUCCAUUUCGUGUGGUCAUCUUGUCUCCCUGGUCCCCUCCAGCCUUUCCUCAUCUUUUGUGACCUGGUCACUCUGGAAGGGCGCUGGCCAGUUAGUCCACAGGAUGGGCCUCCCCUGGGGCUUUUCUGAUGCUUCCUUAUGAUGGCACUGGCAUCCUGAGGGGGAGGACCACAGAGAGGAGGUGCUCCUCAUCACACCACAUGGGGGUCCAUGCACCAGUGCCACUGCUUUCCAGGGCUCUUCACCUUCAUCACUGGUGGAGGUGGCGUCUGCCAAGAAGCAGAAAGUUGAGGCUUAGAAGGUGCACGGCCCUACCUCUUCCGAGGUGCCCCUGCGGGCUGUCUACAGACCAGGCAGCACAUGCCUGAUAGCAGCUGCAUAAGGAAAAGCAGGAGCCAGCUCGUGCACAGUGGCCUCAAGUGUGCACUGGGCAUGUUCUCUGCCUCACCAUCCCUGUGUGACAGAUGAAGCAUGGCAAGCCAGGCUCCAGAGAAGCAUCCUGAGGACCAGUGUUCCUAGGGACCUCAUUCUUCUGACCUCAUUCCUACAACGUUUUGUCACUGCAAAGGAAAUCACCAAGGCCAGCAUGACAGCCCUCAACAGAAGCCAAGGCCAAGUCCUCGAACUUCCUAGUCUGCACAAUGACACUUCUGAUGAAACUGAAAAUGCCACCAGGGAGAAGCAGCUGAACUUCAAGGACCACAGAGGGCCAAGUGCAGGAGUAAGAGGCUGGCGUGCUGACAGUGGCCAAGGGCAUUGGAGGGAAGGACCUGUCAUCACUGGGCCAAGGAAGGAACUCCAGACUGCCUACUUCCAGAGGGCCUGCUGAGAACCCCAAAGAGCUCUCUCAACAAACACACCCACGAGUUCCAGGAGUGAGGCUGCAGGGAACAGCCUCACUCUCAGAGGGGAUACAGAAUUGUUCCACUGGACAAGGGCUGGGAUCGUCAUAGGAUGCCGUUGGCCUGUGGUUUCCAACAGAGGUGCAGUUCAUUGAACUGUGGUCUACAGUCCAUUCUCUAACUUGGGGACCCUUGAAGAAGUGUGGAAUCAUGACAACAACCCUGUUGGGAGACACUAUUAUUCCCAUCACAUGGAUGAGCACACGGAGGCAAAAGGAAGUUAUAUGAUUGUCUGAGAUCACCCAGUGAAGACUGUGUGGCUGGGAGUUGUCCCCAGUGUUAUCUGCACGCUGCUUCCUUUUGAUGCCUGGCCCUUCUUUAUCAAAAGAAGCAUUGGCAGAAUCUGGGUGUUUAUGGGUCAGCUCAAAAUAAAUUACUUUAUAUGUCA